rnacentral:lncRNA from 1 species
GGACAAGUGGCACAAGGAGCAUGUGACUCCCGCCUUCAGGAGCCUGCACUCUUCAAGGGGAGGCAAAGGGCAGAGAAAUCACAGGAAGGGGCAGGAAGUACAGGGUCCCUUGAGCCUUGACUUGCCCGGGAGAGAUGGACAGAGACCCACUGAGGCACUGCUGGUCGUGCUGUCCACUCUGUGUGUUGUCUUGGGGCAUGAAGCCUACGUAGGCCACAGGUCAGACUCCUCUCUGCCCUGGGGAGGGCAGCAGUCAGCUGAUGGGUCUGUACAGAAGUUGUGUUUUUUAAAUUUCUGGUGUCUACAAAUGAGGCCUCAAGUCUAUUCCUGUAGGUGUGUGUUGGCCACCAUGCUCCAGAGCAAAGCUGCCCUUGGCCUUGAGGGCCGCAGUGCCCAGGUCCCGACAUUGGCUUACUCAGACGACUUGGGCUCUGUGGACCAACUCCCUCAGACCUGUUUGCCCUAACCUGCUUUUUAAGGGCUGUAACCAGCCCCUCCCUCUAGUCUCCUAAAGACACAUUUGAAGAGUGAUACAGAGAAAGGUGAGUCCCCUUUCCAGAGGGUCCUCUAUGCUCUGGGAAAUCCCAGGAAAUGGGGCCAUCCAUGCACCGGAGGCCAUAAGCCUCCAAGUGGUAUUUACGUCUAAGGACAGAGGGGGUGGCAGCGGGGCAGGGUCUCUGUCCCUCUUCUGACAACAUUUGUAGUCCUUUCCCGGAUCCACCAGGUACGUGACCAAAGGGUCAGCCAGGUACCUGAAGUGAUGCCCUUCAGUGUGGCGGGGGAGGGCUGUCUGGCCAGGAGCCAGUGAGAUUUUGGGGACUCUGCUGAUGUUCUGUAAAUUGGGCCUGGGACUGGCCAAACUCUAAGGAGGCAAGUUUUUCAUAGAUUCACUCAUCUGGCUUUUAUUGACUGUGCUUGGAGCUGGGGAUACACAGGGAGGGCAAGACUGCCCCCAUCCUCCUGGAGGUUGGGCCCUGAGGAGGAGGAGUUGGCUGGGAGGACCUGGGCCGGUGUUUGGGGUAAUGUGUUCAAGACUGAAGGCCAGAGGAGCUGCCUUUAGAGGCUGGGGAGGGCAGGAGGGCCAAGCUCUGCAGAGCCUGUGGCUGGAGAGCAGGGCCGGGAGAGGCCCCUGGAGAAGGAGCACAGGCUGCUAUUGGAAUGAGGGAUUCCACCAACUCUCAGGAGCCAUGGAAACCCCUCAGGAGACCCAAAGGGGCCCCCCAGGCUUCUGGUUGAGCAGUGUGGAGGUACCAUUUGUGGAGGAUGGGGACUGCGUGUCG